GAACACAAAGUAGACGUUGGCCAGGCGGUGGAACUGCUCAAAGAGGUUCUUGGGCAGGAAGGACAAAGCCGUGUACUUGGUGGUCUUGAGCCGGUUGCAGGCCAGGACCGUCCUCUUGGACUUCUCCGGCUCGGCCUCAGAUGAGACGUAUCCCAUCUGGUUUCCUGUAAAAGGGACAGGCAUGCAUGUUUUGAACAAGCUGAAAGAAGGCAAGAAGCUUUCAGUGUGAACAGCCUGCUGAAAAUGCCAGAAUUUGAUGAGUGCUCCGAGACUGCGCUCAAGAAGCCUUUUACAAGCAGAGAAGACUUCAUUUAUAACUGAAAUACCGGGACCUCUCAGCUGGAACGAAACAGCCGGAUAACAGCGCCAGUAACACAACUCAGCAGCUCUCUGAGAGAAACUGAAGAAUACCAUAUCUAAUUGAAGCAACAAGGGAUAGUUAACUACUGCAGCAAGAAUGUAAUUGCUUGUGCUGGAGACUGGCCAAGACACUAGGGUUAACAUUUCUUCCCUAACAAAACACGUGCUGGGACCUUUAAAUGGCUACUGCUAAUUAUAAUUACCCCAAAUAACACUGUCUAAACCACCUUUUACUAUUACAUCACAGUAUCAACUUUAUUGUUAUUAAUGCAUCCUUCAGAAUGGUCUUUUUGUAGUCUGCCACAUAACAAAGUAAUUCACAGAAUGCUAAUAAAGCUGUGUCCAAACUGCUUCAAAUCAGUGGAUUGAGCAUGAAAAAAGUCCAAAAUAGAUGUAACUCCUACUUUCAGAUGAGUUUUAUUUGUAGCAAAAUCUAAACAUUUCAGAAAAUAGAACUUGAGUAGAAAAAUAGUGCAAAUGGGUAGGUGGAUUUGGCUGGUGAACUGAAUUUAGCUCUACUGGCUUGAGUCUGUAAAGAAAGGAAACAAAUUGAAAUUUCUCCUCUACUGUGUUGUACAGUGGCUGGAAAGAUUCCUAUAAACUUUGGGGGAUAAGGUAGCAGAACUUGUGUCAAUCUCACUUUUCUCCAUCAAUUCCAUCCUACUGACAUUUGAAGAAAUAUGUGUCCCUGUGUUGGUGUCAGGGGUACUCACAGUCAAAGUAAACUAUGCAGUUUAACACUUCAGUUUUAUGAAUGCAUUUAAAAUUACAUGACCAAUAUGAUUGCAGUUCCAUUAACUACUAGUCAGGUUCAGCUGAGGAAAAUUUGGCUCAUAAUGUCUAGGCUUGAAUUAUAAUCACUAAUGGCUCUCAGCAGAUGCCUUUAAAUAUGUUUUCUUUUUCUGCUUCUCCAUUAUCUGUCAUUUAAUGAUGUAUUGCACAUCUUUACAUUUAAGUAAAAAAGUACAGCUCUUUAGGUCUAAAACCUCUAUCAUUUAUUUGAAAUAACAGCCUAUGCAGGAGAUAGCUGGUCAGAAGCAUGAUAAAUGGAGAGAUACGUGUUCAAGCCUGUACCAUCACCAUAUUCAAAUCCACAGCUCCCACAGCUUUCACCCAAUGGUUCAGUGGCUGAUAACUUUGGUACUGGGCUCCAGAGCUGUUGAGGUUGGGCUUCUGUCAGACCCAGGGAUGAAAGGGAAAAUCCUACCAUCUUGUGUUACAGAGCCCUCACUGCCCCUUGCACAUUGCAAUUCUGGCUUUUAAAGUUUUCCCAACAUCUGAGAAGGAAGCGCCCUCAAGUAACACUAUUCUGGCCAGGGGCAGUGCUUCAGAGCCUGCCAGUGGAUCUCAUGACCAUUGGCACAGAGCAGAGGGACACCAGUAGAUGUCCAUAUUAGUGACACUACUUUGAGUAUGAUCUUCUUAACUUGGAUUUAAUGUCCAGGCUGACCUGGGGCUUCAUUGAAGAAGGCGUUGAAGGUGAAGCAUGCAUGUAUGCACAUUGGCUGUGAUGGGACCACUCCCAAGCCUGUGGCUCAGUGACUUGUAAGAACAAAGCUGUAAGUUUUAAUUUUACAAGGAUAUCAGUAAAGCCUUGUGCUAAACCAGCAGGCAGGAGGGAGGCCUGGGUGUGGAUAGCCCUUCCAGUACCUCACUGCAGCAUCUCUAACAAGGCAUUUUCCAGCCAGCGUGGUCCCCGUUCAUGGAGUGUAACGGAGGUUCACACUCUCACACUUGGAAGCAGUGCUUAGAAAGAGUUACCAGCUUGUUUUCCUGAGGACACUGCCACAGGGAGUGAUCUAAUAGCAAGAUUUUUAAAUAAUUAGAUUUUCUCUCCCUGUCAGUGUUGUCUCUCUCAUGUCUUUAACUGAUCAUGUCUACAACUACUAGAAAUACUGAAAGGAAACUAUCCUGGGGUCUGGGGAGAAUUUAGCCCACAUCCCAUCCUCUUGCUCUGUUGUUCUCAACAUUCCAGAAAUCAAUAUCUGCAAAUAGCAUCUUCCCUCUAAACAGGUUUAAAUCUAUGAUAUUAUCAUAGUCAUAUUAUCAUAUCAUAUUCUCACAGUCUUCUUAAGUUAUGGGUUUGUGUGGGUUAUGUGUGUGGUUUUAUAAAAUAUUUCUUUCAUUUCUGUGAGCUAAGAGAGCUCUGUGAUGAAUAGUAGCCUGUAUUUGCAGAAUUUAUAUUACUAGUAGUUAGAAGGAUGGAUGCUCCAGUCUGCUGAAGAUUUUAAAACCCAAUUUUCUUCCGAAGGAGAAUAAACUUGAAUAUUUUAAAGCUUCACAAAGAAGGACUUUAAAAAAUACUUUAAAUAAAUACAGAGUUCAAAAGA